rnacentral:lncRNA from 1 species
AACCUUUACCUUAUUUUGUUACAAGUUGUCGUAUUUGCUUUUAUAUCACAUCUUGCAAUGUUUAUACCCAUAGAUGACAGUGAUAACGGCACAGUGUGUUGUUCUUGAAAACAGGAUUGUGAACGAAAAGAACUAACUAAACUCAAAUUACUUAUAGGUGAACAAGUUGUAACCUUCUAAACAGCUAUAACGCACUUUUCCUGCACCAUACGUUUGAGUAAGAUGUGGCUGUUUAAGUAUUUACCAGUGUUAAAUAUCACCUAUGUGCAUAUACUCAUACGUGUGUAAUUGUAAACUUGUCUUAAAGAUGGGACACAUAUCUUAUCCAAG